rnacentral:rRNA from 1 species
UAGGCGGCGUGCCUAAUACAUGCAAGUCGAACGCACUCUCGUUAGAUUGAAGGAGCUUGCUCUGAUUGAUAACAUUGAGUGAGUGGCGGACGGGUGAGUAACACGUGGGUAUCCUGCCCUAAAGUGGGGGAUAACAUUUGGAAACAGAUGCUAAUACCGCAUAAAACCUAACACCGCAUGGUGUAGGGUUGAAAGAUGGUUUCGGCUAUCACUUUAGGAUGGACCCGCGGUGCAUUAGUUAGUUGGUGAGGUAAAGGCUCACCAAGACCGUGAUGCAUAGCCGACCUGAGAGGGUAAUUCGGCCACACUGGGACUGAGACACGGCCCCAGACUCCUACGGGAGGCAGCAGUAGGGAAUCUUCCACAAUGGACGAAAGUCUGAUGGAGCAACGCCGCGUGAGUGAAGAAGGUUUUCGGAUCGUAAAACUCUGUUGUUGGAGAAGAAUGUAUCUGAUAGUAACUGAUCAGGUAGUGACGGUAUCCAACCAGAAAGCCACGGCUAACUACGUG